rnacentral:rRNA from 1 species
UACGGGGGGGGCAAGCGUUGUUCGGAAUUACUGGGCGUAAAGGGCGCGUAGGCGGCCUUCUAAGUCGGACGUGAAAUCCCCAGGCUCAACUUGGGAACUGCGUCUGAUACUGGAUGGCUUGAAUUCGGGAGAGGGAUGCAGAAUUCCAGGUGUAGCGGUGAAAUGCGUAGAUAUCUGGAGGAAUACCGGUGGCGAAGGCGGCAUCCUGGACCGAUAUUGACACUGAUGAGCGAAAGCUAGGGGAGCAAACGGG